rnacentral:rRNA from 1 species
GCAGUAGCCGCGGUAAUACGUAGGGUGCAAGCGUUAAUCGGAAUUACUGGGCGUAAAGCGUGCGCAGGCGGUUGUGUAAGACAGGUGUGAAAUCCCCGGGCUUAACCUGGGAAUUGCAUUUGUGACUGCACGACUAGAGUGUGUCAGAGGGGGGUGGAAUUCCACGUGUAGCAGUGAAAUGCGUAGAUAUGUGGAGGAACACCAAUGGCGAAGGCAGCCCCCUGGGAUAACACUGACGCUCAUGCACGAAAGCGUGGGGAGCAAACAGGAUUAGAUACCCCAGUAGUCCCUGUCUCUUAUAA